rnacentral:rRNA from 1 species
GACGAACGCUGGCGGCGUGCCUAAUACAUGCAAGUCGAACGAGAGCGACCGGUGCUUGCACUGGUCAAUCUAGUGGCGAACGGGUGAGUAACACGUGGGUAACCUGCUCAUCAGAGGGGGAUAACAUCCGGAAACGGAUGCUAAAACCGCAUAGGUCUUCGAGCCGCAUGGCUUGAAGAGGAAAAGAGGAGCAAGCUUCUGCUGAUGGAUGGACCCGCGGUGCAUUAGCUAGUUGGUGAGGUAACGGCUCACCAAGGCCGUGAUGCGUAGCCGACCUGAGGGGGUGAUCGGCCACAUUGGGACUGAGACACGGCCCAAACUCCUACGGGAGGCAGCAGUAGGGAAUCUUCCGCAAUGGACGCAAGUCUGACGGAGCAACGCCGCGUGAGUGAAGAAGGUUUUCGGAUCGUAAAACUCUGUUGUUAGAGAAGAACAAGUGCUAGAGUAACUGUUAGCGCCUUGACGGUAUCUAACCAGAAAGCCACGGCUAACUACGUG